AGCUGGCUCCUGUUUAGUCUGAACAACUGGUUUUCCAAGGUCUAUAUCAUCCUGUGCUUGCUGACGUCUGUGCUUUCCCAGCAGCACACUAAAUGGAGUCAUAGGAAGACUUUCUUCUACUGCCAGCUUGAAAAAAUAUUACUUCUCCACAGAAAUACAUACUGGAAUGCAAUCCUGGAACAACUUCUCACUGCAUACAAUGGAGCAUUGUUGGGAUACUCUGCCAGGAAAACAUGGAUUUUUGAGCAGAGGUUACAGAGGAUGAAGAUACGUAUUUCAUAGUACAGGACUUUGAUUCACCUCUGGAUUAAUGGGGGACAAGAGAAGUGCUCCAUGAGCACACGACUUGUGUGCUCCAUGAUACAGAUUUAAGGAUGGGAGGUACAAGAGACUUAAGCAAGCAAGAAGGAACUGCAAUGCUCAAUCUUAUUUUUAACCAACACCUAAAAGCCAUUUUAGUCUUUUCUAUAUAUGAAUCUAAGACUGGUAAGUUCAAUGUUUAUGUGUAUAUGUUUAUGAACAUAUAGAAGGUCUUGGACUGCUAUGAAUUAAUUCUUUCUUUUCUGAGAGCUCAAAUGAGACAUAAAAGAGCAGAUGA